ACCAACUCACUUUAAAAACGCUCUCUUUGUAAAUAAGUGACUUUAAAACAUGCUUAUUAGUAACAAUUAAGUUGUUUCUAUCUUUUACUCUUGGUUUUGUUUUAAGGUGCUCCACUGUGACCAAUGGCCAGUCUUGUUUGAUAUUUUGUUUGAACUUUCGAUUUGCAGGCAUUAUUGACACCCUUUCAGCAAUACUUUUUCAUGUUUGUUUUAAAAUACUUACUUAGUUCUUGAUUAUUAUGAAUUUUAUUUAUGUAUAUUAUGUGACCAGAAUGUUAUAGUUUUGUCACUUUCAAGAAGAAAUUGUAUCUUUUGUUUAUGAUUUGGACUGGGUAAAAUUUAUAAACUUGUUAUAAAAUGGAGGAAAUAAUCUCUUAAUGAUAUUAUGAUAACAGAUUUCAUACAUGCUUAAUAUCUUAAUUGGACUUGUCUAAAUUAUAAGUAUGAAGGGUAUUAAUAUUGAAAUGCUUUAAUUAUCUCGGGAGCCACCAGUAAACAGAUUGGUCAGAGGGUAUUAUAGUAUACAUUGUAAUCUGUCAAUGUAUAGUGCUGGUGUAAACUGAAGUAAUUAUCCCUGACUGUCAAUGUAUAGUGCUGGUAUAGAUUGAAGUAAUAAUCACUGACUGUCAAUUGUAUAGUACUGGUGUAAACUGAAGUAAUUAUCCCUGACUGUCAAUGUAUAGUACUGGUACAGACUGAAGUAAUUAUCCCUGACUGCCAAUGUAUAGUGCUGGUAUAGACUGAAGUAAUUAUCCCUGACUGUCAAUGUAUAGUGCUGGUAUAGAUUGAAGUAAUUAUCCCUGACUGUCAAUGUAUAGUGCUGGUAUAGAUUGAAGUAAUUAUCCCUGACUGUCAAUGUAUAGUGCUGGUAUAGAUUGAAGUAAUUAUCCCUGACUGUCAAUGUAUAGUGCUGGUAUAGACUGAAGUAAUUAUCCCUGACUGUCAAUGUAUAGUGCUGGCACAGACUCAAGUAAUUAUCCCUGACUGUCAAUGUUUAGUGCUGGCACAGACUGAAGUAAUUAUCCCUGACUAUCAAUGUAUAGUUCUGGCACAUACUGUAGUAAUUAUCACUGGCUGUCAAUUUAUAGUGCUGGCACAGACUUAAGUAAUUAUCACUAACUGUCAAUGUAAAGUUCUGGCACAGACUGAAGUAAUUAUCCCUGACUGUCAAUGAACAGUGCUGGUACAGACUGAAGUAAUUAUCCCUGACUGUCAAUGAACAGUGCUGGUACAGACUGAAGUAAUUAUCCCUUACUGUCAAUGUAUAGUACUGGCACAGACUUAAGUAAUUAUCCCUGACUGUCAAUGUUUAGUGCUGGCACAGACUGAAGUAAUUAUCACUGACUGUCAAUGAACAGUACUGGUAUAGACUGAAGUAAUUAUCCCUGACUGGCAAUGUAUAGUACUGGUAUAGACUGAAGUAAUUAUCCCUGACUGUCAAUAUAUAGUGCUGGUAUAGACUGAAGUAAUUAUCACUAGCUGUCAAUGAACAGUACUGGUAUAGACUGAAGUAAUUAUCACUGACUGUCAAUAUAUAGUGCUGGUAUAGACUGAAGUAAUUAUUCCUGACUGUCAAUGUAUAGUGCUGGCGCAGACUGAAGUAAUUAUCCCUGACUGUCAAUAUGUAGUGCUGGUAUAGACUGAAGUAAUUAUUCCUGACUGUCAAUGUAUAGUGCUGGCGCAGACUGAAGUAAUUUUCCCUGACUGUCACUGUAUAGUACUGGUAUAGACUGAAGUAAUUAUCCCUGACUGUCAAUAUAUAGUGCUGGCGCAGACUGAAGUAAUUAUCCCUGACUGUCAAUGAACAGUACUGGUAUAGACUGAAGUAAUUUUCCCUGACUGUCAAUAUAUAGUGCUGGUAUAGACUGAAGUAAUUAUCACUGACUGUCAAUGUAUAGUGCUGGUAUAGACUGAAGUAAUUAUCCCUGACUGUCAAUGUAUAGUGCUGGCACAGACUGAAGUAAUUAUCCCUGACUGUCAAUGUAUAGUGCUGGCACAGACUGAAGUAAUUAUCCCUGACUGUCAAUGUAUAGUGCUGGCACAGACUGAAGUAAUCAUCCCUGACUGUCAAUGUAUAGUGCUGGCACAGACUGAAGAUAAUUAUCACUGACUGUCAAUGUUUAGUGCUGGCACAGACUGAAGUAAUCAUCCCUGACUGUCAAUGUAUAGUGCUGGCACAGACUGAAGUAAUCAUCCCUGACUGUCAAUGAACAGUACUGGUAUAGACUGAAGUUAUUAUCCCUGACUGUCAAUGUAUAGUGCUGGCACAGACUGAAGUAAUCAUCCCUGACUGUCAAUGUAUAGUGCUGGCACAGACUGAAGUAAUCAUCCCUGACUGUCAAUGAGCAGUACUGGUAUAUACUGAUGUAAUUAUUAUUAGAGACAUUCAUAGGGUUAAACAAAUAAAUUAACUGUAUAAUACAUAACGAUUAUGCAAUUGCCAUUUUCACCCUGGUAAUGUAGCCAAUUUUAACUGAUGAGUUGCCAUUUUUAUGCAAUAAAAUGCUCUUAAAUUAGAUUUUUUAUUUUCAGAAAGAGAGAAGAAAGAACUGCUUAGUAAUAGGAUAUUUUUAAAUCUUGAUUCAUAUUUGACAACAUAUCCCCUAGUGGGCUUUCAUUCUAAUGGAAAAGUAGAAUUCUGUCUUUGUUGACGUAAAAGACAAAGAAGAUAGAUCUAUUUAAUGAUUUAAUUUAUUGUUUUGUGUAGCUUUUUCAUAAAAUAAGAAAAGAAAAGAUGAAUAUUUAUAUCUAUUAAAAGGGAUGUUAAGAGAAAUAAUUAUAAAAUACAAAAAAAAAAGAAUCACCAACAAUAUUACAUAGCAAUUAGUUGAUCAGACUGACCUGUGUCUAUACUGGUGGUCUCUAUACUGUUGGCUAAACUGGUGGUAAAUGGCUAAUUGCUGUUGGUUUGUUCCAGCAGCUUAAAGGUUUAGUUACUACACUUAUUAAUGUUAAAUUUACAUGCUUGAUACAACUAAUAAAACCCAUGUGACAAAUGCAGACCAACAUCAGCUGGCACAUCUUCGCCAUUUGAUAAUGGUCUGCACUGUUUGCUAUUCAGUCAGUAACUAUUUUGAAAGUUUACCAAAAAUGAUAAAAGGUUGUGUCUAGUUUGAAGGAAAAACAAGUCCAUUUAAGAUAUUUAGCAUGAAAUAAAUGUGACAGGUUGCUUUAAGUUUCUUUUUACAUUCUGUAACAUUUCUUUCUGUAUUGCAGCUUUCAGCUAUAUAGUUAUAUUUAGCAACAAUAACUAGUUCAUAUUGCAGUUAGAUUUUGCAACAUUUUCAAAUAAAUUUCAUUUAUUUCAUAAAUAAAUUCAAUAUUUAGUGUCCCAUACCCCAAGCAUGACUAUUUCCAGAACUUUGAGCAGCAGUUUUAUGAAUAUUUCCAAGGAAAAUGGCAUUCUUGUUUUUGAUUGGUUGUUACUCAACACAUUUAUAAUUUUACAGUUGGUGGUGCUUUUGCUAUAUAUGUUUCAUGGCAAAAAUUUGCAAGAGAAAUAAAAUUAAUUAUGAAACUUAAAGGAACUGAGGUCAUUUUACUGUAAUUCUAAAACUUGUAGCAUAAAUAUUUUCUUUUGUACAUAUUAUAUAUAACUAUGAUGUCAGGAUUCAAUACAACACUGUUAUCACAAUUAUCAAGGUUUCAAAUGUGCCACAAUUAUCAAGGUUUCAAAUGUGCCACAAUUAUCAAGGUUCUAGUGUGACACAAUAAUCAAGGUUUCAAAUGUGCCACAAUUAUCAAGGUUUCAAAUUUGGCACAAUUAUCAAGGUUGCAAUGUUACAAAAUUAUCAAGGUUUUAAAUGUGCCACAAUUAUCAAGGUUUCAAAUUUGGCACAAUUAUUAAGGUUGCAAUGUAACACAAUUAUCAAGGUUUCAAAUGUGGCACAAUGAUCAAGGUUUCAAUGUGACACCGAAAUUAAAGUUUCAAAUGCGACACUUUCACUGUGACAAAAAAUACCAUGAUAUAAGUUUCUUUUAAACACUUUUAUUCAGAUUUUAAUCUUUACUUAAGGACUUUCUAAACUUUUUUAUUUCUGUUUGGUAUGGGGGAUUCUUAUUCAGAUUUUUCAAAUCUUGAUAUUUUUUACUUGCUUACAGAUCAUUUUAUCGAAAUAAACACAGUUUUCAAUCCUGUAGCUAUUUUGAUGUCUUUAAUAUCAAUAUUUUCUUUUUUAUUGAACAUCUUAGUGCUAAGAUUUUUAAUAGAAUUGUUCUAAGAUGAAUCGAACAAAAAAUGAUACUUGAUUAGAAUAGAGAACGUCCCUAUUUAAGAAUAUGUUCUAUCAUUUAAACCUGAAGAGAAUUAUAAAGAUAAUUAAAUAAUAUAUCAGUAAUCAUUUCGUUUUAAUGACCCAGGAAUAAAUUAUUUUUGUUGUACGAGUAAUGCUGUAUUUCUUUUCUCUUGCAAAUCCUUGUCGCUUUUUUUUAACAAAUAAAAAUGCCUAUUGCACGGUCUGAUAAUUAUGUCGCAGAAAGGACGUUGAAAUGGUUGUUUAUAUAUAGAUUUGGAUCUCAUAUCCUGUUAGGUAAUUGUUUUGCAUAAGUUUAUCCUGUUAGGUAAUUGUUUUGCAUAAAUUUUUAAAAAGAAAAAAACCUUAUAUUUUCAAAAUCGAUUUUUGAAGAAAAGAAAAAAAAUUGUUGUUACACUCUGAUGUUGUAUUUUCGAAUAGAUUGGUAAUUGUGAAGUAUACACCUAUAAGGCAUAACUAUAGAAUCACCAAAAAGAUGGAAAGAAUCACUUUGGUUAUAUCUUAUUAAAUCUUUUACCAUGUAAAUACUUCCAUGUGUUGGUAUGUAAGCCCCUGUGUAACUGAAGAUCUGAGCUCUUGUUGAAAUAUUUUAAUUUCAAGAGCAAAUUCAUCUAAGAAGAAGCUUAACGUAUUGUAUCUGACUCAAUAUAUUUGAUGUAAAUUAUCUUGAGAGUGAAACUUGAAACUCUUUUUACGGAAACAAAGGAAAUAUAAGUUUUAACUGUCAACAAAGAAUAAAAGUUUUCAUACCUAACCUUAAAAGCCAAUCAAAUGUAUUGAGUAGAUUUAUCUUUCUGCAUUUUAAUGGGCUCAUUCAAAUUUCAACCAAUUGUAUUAAGGUUUUCUCCCUUUGUAAUGUGUAUUCUGAAAUUUUAACCAAUGGUGAAAAAGUUUUUUUCAGUCAACAUGAGAUUUCUGUAUUUGUGCUUUAUAGGUCAUACAAACUAUAACAAUAAAAUAUAUAUGUUCAAUGAAUAACAGUUGGUAACCAACUCCAAAUUUAUUUAAUGUCUUUUUAUAAAAAAAAUAAUGUUCGUGGAAUCCAAUGUUUUGAUACAGAAAAGUUAAAAAAGAAGAAAUUUUUUGUAUGCAAAUGAGGAAAAUGUGAUACUAAUGCAUAAAACAUUUUUUUCACUUUUUUUCUGCAAAUUUUGACAAUGAGAAAAUGAUAUGAAAUAAAAGUAUGUAGGCA